GGCAAGAUGGCCGAGCGGUCUAAGGCGCCGCACUCAAGCUUGUGCUUGCUCUUAAACCGGAGUUCAUUUGCGGUCUCGAAAGAGGCGUGGGUUCAAAUCCCACUCUUGUCA